rnacentral:rRNA from 1 species
UAAGGAAUAUUGCUCAAUGGGAGAAAUCCUGAAGCAGCAACGCCGCGUGGAGGAUGAAGGGUCUAUGACUUGUAAACUCCUGUAAAGAAGGAAAAAAUUCCCAUUUGAUGGGAGAUGAUGGUACUUCUGGAGUAAGCCCCGGCUAACUACGUGCCAGCAGCCGCGGUAAUACGUAGGGGGCAAGCGUUGUCCGGAUUUACUGGGUGUAAAGGGUGCUCAGGCGGAUUUGUAAGUCAGAGGUGAAAUCUUACAGCUUAACUGUGAAACUGCCUUUGAUACUGCAAGCCUAGAGUAUGGAAGAGAGUGAUGGAAUAUCUGGUGUAGCAGUGAAAUGCGUAGAUAUCAGAUAGAACACCAAUGACGAAGGCAGUCACUUGGUCCAUUACUGACGCUAAAGCACGAAAGCGUGGGUAGCAAACA